rnacentral:rRNA from 1 species
AGUGAACGCUGGCGGUAGGCCUAACACAUGCAAGUCGAACGGCAGCACAGUAAUAGCUUGCUCUUACGGGUGGCGAGUGGCGGACGGGUGAGGAAUACCUCGGAAUCUACUUUUUCGUGGGGGAUAACGUAGGGAAACUUACGCUAAUACCCCAUACGACCUACGGGUGAAAUCAGGGGAUCUUCGGACCUUGCGCGAUUGAAUGAGCCGAUGUCGGAUUAGCUAGUUGGCGGGGUAAAGGCCCACCAAGGCGACGAUCCGUAGCUGGUCUGAGAGGAUGAUCAGCCACACUGGAACUGAGACACGGUCCAGACUCCUACGGGAGGCAGCAGUGGGGAAUAUUGGACAAUGGGCGAAAGCCUGAUCCAGCCAUACCGCGUGGGUGAAGAAGGUCUUCGGAUUGUAAAGCCCUUUUGUUGGGAAGGAAAGGCAGCAGGUUAAUACCCCGCUGUUCUGACGGUACCAAAAGAAUAAGCACCGGCUAACUUCGUG